GAUGAACGCUGGCGGCGUGCCUAAUACAUGCAAGUCGAGCGAACGGACGAGAAGCUUGCUUCUCUGAUGUUAGCGGCGGACGGGUGAGUAACACGUGGAUAACCUACCUAUAAGACUGGGAUAACUUCGGGAAACCGGAGCUAAUACCGGAUAAUAUUUUGAACCGCAUGGUUCAAAAGUGAAAGACGGUCUUGCUGUCACUUAUAGAUGGAUCCGCGCUGCAUAGCUAGUUGGUAAGGUAACGGCUUACCAAGGCAACGAUGCAUAGCCGACCUGAGAGGGUGAUCGGCCACACUGGAACGGAGACACGGUCCAGACGCCUACGGGAGGCAGCAGUAGGGAAUCUUCCGCAAUGGGCGAAAGCCUGACGGAGCAACGCCGCGUGAGUGAUGAAGGUCUUCGGAUCGUAAAACUCUGUUAUUAGGGAAGAACAUAUGUGUAAGUAACUGUGCACAUCUUGACGGUACCUAAUCAGAAAGCCACGGCUAACUACGUG
rnacentral:rRNA from 1 species